CUGGGAUGCGGCGGGAUCUUCGUCCGGGCGCUGUGCCGAGCGCGACCCAGGGACCGGCCCCGGUGCUGCCCGAAUCCUGAGGCGCUCAGAUCACAGGAUAUAGUGGGGUCGAGAGAAAUCCUGAAAUCUGACUCUCAGGCACGCAGCAUGUGGCAGAAUUGAACUCACAUCCCGGCCAGUACCUGGACUCUGCUCCAACUGACUGAGACAAUCUCUGGGUCACAGGGAGAAAUGAGCAGGAUAAGUCCUGAGGCUUCCCUUGCUGCAUGACCAGAGCUCUUCUGGAGAGUGGCAGGGGGCAUUUCCUGCAGUGUCCUGCCUGUGCCAGGCACACGGCCCGGGAUGGGCGCUGGGUGCCCGGCGGGCGCUGGCACGGACACGGCUCAGGGGCUGCUCUGAACAGGCUCCUGGAGAUGCUUCAGCCUGGACACAGCCACUGACAGCCCAAAGGCACCCCAAGGAGCAGCUGGCACUGCCUGGUGAUGGCAGCACGGGCUGCGUGCAGAGGGGCUCAGACAGCAAUUCCUGGUUCCAGCCUCCCAGAGCUCCCAGGCAGCUGCCAGCUAUCAAAUGCCAACCGACAGCCUGCAGAGAUGCCUUAAAA